GUGUUGAAAUUGUCUUGUAGGUGGGUAAAUUUCAAAUUCCAAUUCCGUUGUUUGGGGGGCAAAUUCGUAUUUUAAUUGUGUUGUUGGUGGGUCUUUUCUUCGUAAGAGCCCAAAAAUGAGGUAUAAAUUUGUUUUAAAAUGACAUUUUAUGCGUACUUUGCGCGAUCGAAAACGGCAUUUUGGUACGAAAUAAACGAGUCCGAAUGCUAUUCUCACGACGCGGCUAUUCUUACGGUAACACCAUGGAGGCUAUGAGUGUUUCAGACGUGCGCCAGUUUUUGAUGGAGCGUAACCUAAGCUCGCUAACCACGACCUUUGAAGCUCUGACACUUACAUGUAGAAGAAAAUUAGUCUGACAGAAAAUCUGAUUGAUGGCGAAGCAUUGCUUUCUGUGAUGGAAGAUCACAUUUUGUUGAAGGAAUUAAUACCUGAAGUGGGGUUGAGAGCAAAACUGAGGCGUAAAAUAAAAAAGAAGACUUGAGAGUUUUACUGAAUGACAUGAACAAAUACUAAUUUCAAUUGUGUUGUAGGGUGGUGUUGAGUUUAAUCUAAAUGUGGUGCUGGUGGGUCUAUUACCUAUUUUAAUUCUGUUGGUGGGGGGUGUAAAAGCAGUUAAAAUUGUGUUGGUGGUGCCCCAUUUUUGGACUGUCGUUCUUGCCCCCCCAGGCCUUUUUUCCUGGAACAGC